rnacentral:lncRNA from 1 species
ACACCCACAAACACGCACACACACAAACACACACACACAAAAGAGAAAGAAAAGAAAAAGAAAACAUAAACGGAGUGGGCAAGAGUCACAUCACACCUACCAGGGAAAAGACAAGCUCCCCAGUUAAGGGACAGGCUGGUGCUGGGUGGGGGCAGGGAGGAGCAGGGCACCGCAGGGAAUUCCCUUAGGGCUUCCUCCAGCGGGUGGGCGCUGGGAGGAGAUGCUCUGAUGGUGAGCCCCCUCUCCCCAAAGGCGCUGGGGGUACAGCACAGAAGGGAGUGUGCAAAUCUGGUUGACCCCAUCCUAGCCCCCAACUGCUUGCGAGAGCCUCUGAGUGUUUCUACGGGUGGGAAUUGGGCUGGAGUUAACCCGGAAGCAAAACCAUUAUCAAUGACCCUUGUCUGUCUUCCGGAAGUUGUGGAGCACGCAGGUCACUCUGGUCCGCGUUCUCCUGCUCCUUGGCCCACUGUGGCCACGUGAGGAGACUGGCAGGCACAUCCACCCCUGACCUGGUGAGUUGGCUCGGCUGCGUGUGGCUCGGCUGCAUGUGGCUGAGGGUAUGGACCAGUCCUCGCUCCCCGUCCCCCCACCCCCGCUUCCUUUGGCACAUUCUUGUCUAAAUCAGCUCAGGGUGCGAGGAUUUGACGGAUUUUAUGGGGCUCUGUAAGGGGAGGGCUCCUCCACUUCCCAGUAGGCUCGCUUUACUUUGCACGUGAGGAAUCGCUCACUAGUCAGCCCUGAUCCAAUUUUGCUGCCAAUCCCGCCCCCCUCUGCGGCAUCCCACCGCCGACCGUCCACAAAGCUCUCAACGUUUCUGGCCUGCUGAGGGCCCGCUGUGCUAUUUUCCAGCACCCUUGUCUUUGCUGAUGUUUCCGUGCUUUAGUUAUUUCCGGGGAAGUUUGAGAGGGAGAGGAUGGAAAUGACAGUGGGAAGAUGCAAGUUGCCAUUCCGAAGCGGCAACCUCGUUGUAAAAAGCACACUCUACUUUGAGGUUGAAAAGCCUCCUCUGGGUGCACAGUAUGUUUGUUACAAUGUAUUUGUUAAGAAGCAAAGCCAGUCCUUUUGAGCACACCAGGCAUGUUUCCCCAGGGCCUUUUGCACGACCCUGUGCUGGCCUCUCCCCCAGAUGCUUGCCUGGCUUUCCCCCCUCCCUCAGUCCUCUUCUCUGAGGUCCCUUCCUCAGGAUACAUUACUCUCUUUCCUUUCCUUUCCUUUUUUUUUUUUUACGUGGCACCUGCAGUGUAUGAAAGUUCCCGGGCGAGGGGUUGAAUUGGAGCUCCAGCUGAAGGCCUAUGCCACAGCACGCAGGACCCCAGCUGCAUCCGUGACCGAUGCUGCAGCUUGUGACACCGUGAGAUCCUUAACCCUCAGAUUAAGCGAAUGAGGCUGGGGAUCAAACCCACAUCCUCACUGACACUAUGUUGCAUUCUUAACCCACUAAGCCACAGCAGGGAACUCCCUAUUUUUACUUCUUCACUAGUACUUCUCUUUGACAUUGGACUGUGUAUUUUUGUUUUCUUUCUGCCUUUCCUCUCAAUAGCAAUAAACUCUGAAAGCCGGCAGAGUCUUGGUUUGCUCACUUCUCAAUCCCCAGCACCUGGAACAGUGGCACCCAGGAGCAUGUGCCAGUGCUUAUGAAUGUAAGGAUGUGUGACAGUGGAGGAGGACGACUAGUCCCACCAGGUCAGCUGGACUGGUCUUUACUUCCCUUUCUGUUAUGUCAGAUUCACACUCAGCUAACCUGAUAGUUUCGGUAGUUUUUUCCUCCUAGAUAAAACCGAAAAACCCUUGCAUUUCAUUGUAUGAUAAUACAUGGGCAUUCUGGUUAACAGUCUGGCUCUGUCGUUUUAAGGAACAAAGCCUGGAGCUGUAACCAUGGCAGAGGUCUAAACCAGCUCCCCAUCGUCUUGGUGUUUGAGGCUGUCUCUCUGAGUACAACCCUUUGUUUGUGAGCACGUAGCUCAGAUUUGCCCGCUGGACAAUCUUUCAGAGCUAAUAAGGCAAUUCACGGCUCCCAGUGGCAGGGUUUGGUUUGUUCUGUCCUCAGCUGACGUGGUUUUAUUAAUACCAGCCAUCACUCGGUACUUUUCUAUUAUUUUGCAGUGUGAUUCAUGAUAAGCCUCUGGAUAAAAGGAGCUUGCCAAUAGUAAAUGACCACUUAGGUCAUGCUUUGAUUACCUCCAGCUGCCUAUUCAAAUAGAAACAUUCAAGGUGGAAAGUGAUUACUAGAUGUAGACUCUAAGUACUAAGAGGAGUUAAAGUGGGAAAGAAGCUUCUUUGAAGGACUGAGUUUAGAGCACAUCCUGGGCUGAUUUUCCAGAGCAUUCAGGCAGUGUGCAAGGACUAGUCAUUUUCUUCUUCUUCUUUUUUUUUUUUUUUUUUUGGUCACUCUGGGGCAUAUGGGGUUCCUGAGCCAGGAAUCAGAUCUGAGCCAUAGUUGCAACCUAAGCUGCAGCUGUGGCAAGGCCUGAUCCUUAACCCACUGAGCCGAGCCGAGGAUGGAACCUGUGUCCCAGCCCUCCCAAGAUACUGCCAAUCCUGUUGUGCCACAGCAGGAGCUCCAAAGAUGAGUCAUUUGUUAGGAGGUACUUGGUACUGAAAGUCCUCCAGGAGAGAAACGAGAGCCAGGAAAAAGAGCAGGUAUGAGGAAGGAAGGAGGGAACAGAAGGGGCAGAAACAGGGGGGGAAAAAGGAAAUUAUUCUUGUUGGGAAGUAAUAGAAUAUCACGGUAAGAGAAUUUUGCUCACUGAUGUUAAUGCAAGAUCUUCUAUCCAGAACACUUAUUCAGUAGGGCAAGAAGUCAAGGGAAAGCGCUUUGAUGUUGCCAAAAUUGCCUUGAACACCGUCAGCCCUGGAAGCAGCAAUUCAAGGCACUGAGAGCAUCCAGUUGUAAAGUGUAGCUGGUACCCACAGACAGAUGUAACAGAAAUCUUGAUUGCUGCUUCCAGAAUCUCUCCUUUUUCUGUUUUUAUUAGUAAUUCAGAGUCUUGGUUACUGCCCUGGCUCCCAGAAGAACUCUCAGGAUGUUUGAUUGACCUCAUGAUGCUGGCUGCCAUGUUGGAGCAGAAUAUGGAUUUGGAUUAAGACUAGCUCACAGGGUACAUGUUGAUGAAAGCUGUUAAAGGAAAAUCCCUUCUCUCAUUGGAACAUUCCAUAAUUCCCUCUUGGUUUAGCACCUCCCUGUGGUACCAAACCCAGUUAUCAUGUUAAGUGAUGGCGUUCUAUCUGGGAGGAUGGGAAGUAUCCCAUGAAUGCAAGCUUUGCCUCCAGUUCAGCCUUAAAGAUAACUUAUGUUCAGGUUUGUGCUUAUCAUGUUCAGGUAGAUAACACUCUGUCAUUAAUACUGAAAACUUUUCAGAUUUCACUUAACGUGUUGGCAGCGAAGUAUCCCUCCCAUGUCCACUAGCAACCUCUCAGGCAAAUAACACAAUGGCAUACAUUCUAACAAGAGCAUACGUAGGUCACCAACAAGGGGGCUUGAUGAAUGGUAAAACAAUGAAUGUUAUAUGGCAUUAAAAAAUGUGGGCUUGAGGAGUUCCUGCCAUGGUGUAGUGGGUUAAGAAUCUGACUGCAGGGAGUUCCCGUUGUGGUACAGUGCAAACGAAUCUGACUAGUAUCCAUGAGGAUGGGGGUUCCAUCCCUGGCCUCGUUCAGUGGGUUAAAUGAUCUGGCGUUGCCGUGAGCUGUGGUGCAGGUUGCAGAUGUGGCUUGGAUCCCACGUUGCUGUGGCUCUGGCAUAGGCCGGCAGCUGUAGCUCCAAUUUGGCCCCUAGCCUGGGAACCUCCAUAUGCU